rnacentral:tRNA from 1 species
GCCGGCGUAGCUCAGCGGUAGAGCAGCGGUUUUGUAAACCGCUGGUCGGAGGUUCGAUUCCUCUCGCCGGCU